rnacentral:ncRNA from 1 species
GAGGUAGAGGCGCGGAUUCUAAUAGUUCCCUGAAUAGCUUGAGAGGCAAUGAAACUUGGAAGAAGGAGCAUCCGCCGAAGUGUGCAUUUGACUCACAAUUGCAUGCUGGGUUUAUGGUAAAUAACCAUAAGACUGUCUUAAUGGAU